UUUUUUUUCUACAUUCCACUUCUUUUCUACAUUCAGAAACACAAUUUCAGCCCACUUCACAGUUGCGCCGCCAUCACUCUGUCGGAGCAAUUUUGAUGGGAUUUUCACCAAACUAUGCGUUCCUCAUGUUCGGCCAGUUUGUCGCCGGCAUAUGAAUCGGUUUUGCUUUCCUCAUUGCACCCUUUUACACCUCGGAAAUCUCUCCUACUUCUUCCCGUGGCUUCCUCUGUUCCUUGCCUGAGGUCUUUUUGAACGGAGGAAUAUUGCUGGGAUACAUCUCAAACUAUGCAUUUUCAAAGCUUUCACUUCGAAUGGGUUGGCAGUUGAUGCUAGGAGUAGGAGUGAUUCCUUCAAUGUUCCUAGCCGUGGCGGUUUUAGCAAUUCUCUUUUGAAGUGGCUUGAUUCUCUUUUUCAUUUUUUUGCAUUUGUUAUUUUAAAUUGGGUUUUUGCUAAUAAUCUUAAUGAGUGGCCACUGUAUUCAUUUUACAACUUGGAGUGCUGAAUUUAAUCAAUCAUUUUGAUUAGCAUGAGAUUGCAGGGAUGAGGCAAUGUUGUUUCUGGUUUCAGAAUUUUGCAAUCCAAUUGAUCCAAGCUUCAGAAUUACAAUUCUAUUUGAAGUCUCAGUUUUGCCAUUCUCACUUGUUGGAUUUUUUAGCUGAAACUUUGUUUUUUUUCCUGAAGAAGUUAUGCUUCUUGUGGUUUACAGUUUCCCUUGUUUGUUCCACAUUUCCAAGAUCUUGUUCAGUGAAGUUGGAACAAGUAACAAAACUAUAUUCGUUGUUAUCUGUCCCAUGAAAUUUUACAAACUCUUGUAUACAUUUCAACAAAAGUGAAUUUGGGUUUUGUAUAAGUGCAAGAAACAAUUCCUUGUCUAAGCUUAUAAGUUGAAGUGCUUCCAUAAGUUCCUGCGAAUGAAGAAAUUGCAUGCUUCUGGUUUGACCGAGUAUGAACUCCUCUAUCAUUGCCAUGCUUCAUAGAACAAGACUCUUUAAAGUGACAAAACUCUUCAAUUAUGUUAUCCAGAUCAAGAUCAUCUUUUGAUUACCGCCGAGAGUGUUGAUUAUGCAAGUACUUAGAUUUCAUGGUUGCAUCCAAAUUCAGAUUAUUAAUGUCCAACAGAGUCAUAUAUAUAUAUAUAUAUGACUCUGUUGGAUAACAAAAUGAAAAAGAAGAAGAGAAGUAUGUUUGGAAAAUCAUUUUCAUAUGACUCUGUUGUUUGUUGUGUCAUUUAUUAUGCAUAAAGGGAAAGUAUCCAAUGCAAAAAAUACAAAGGAAGCUUAUUUCAUUAUAUGCUUCAAUCAACUACCUAAUAUGGAUGUGGAUGCGGUAAUUUCCUAUUCAAAUUAUCCGUCUAUGGUUCUACUAGUACUAAGGUUUGAUUUGAUUAUGUUAUGUUAUAGGUCAGUUUUAUUGGUUCGACAGAGACUGGCCGGAAGAUUUAAAGAGUAAAGAUGCUUCCCAAUCCAUUUAUAUGUUUAUCUUUAAGCUAGUAAGGCAUAGUUUGAGAAAAUUCUGUCCUAUAUUGAGCUUGGAAAGAAAGAAGGAGCUACCCUUUUAACUGGGAAAAAGAUUUGGAAACAAGGGCUACUACAUUGAGCCUACAAUUUUCUCUAACGUUAAGGAGGACAUGCUAAUAUC